AGGCUUAACACAUGCAAGUCGAGGGGCAGCGGGGGUAGCGAUACCCGCCGGCGACCGGCGCACGGGUGAGUAACGCGUAUGCAACUUGCCUAUCAGAGGGGGAUAACCCGGCGAAAGUCGGACUAAUACCGCAUGAAGCAGGGGCCCCGCAUGGGGAUAUUUGCUAAAGAUUCAUCGCUGAUAGAUAGGCAUGCGUUCCAUUAGGCAGUUGGCGGGGUAACGGCCCACCAAACCGACGAUGGAUAGGGGUUCUGAGAGGAAGGUCCCCCACAUUGGUACUGAGACACGGACCAAACUCCUACGGGAGGCAGCAGUGAGGAAUAUUGGUCAAUGGCCGAGAGGCUGAACCAGCCAAGUCGCGUGAGGGAUGAAGGUUCUAUGGAUCGUAAACCUCUUUUAUAAGGGAAUAAAGUGCGGGACGUGUCCCGUUUUGUAUGUACCUUAUGAAUAAGGAUCGGCUAACUCCGUGCCAGCAGCCGCGGUAAUACGGAGGAUCCGAGCGUUAUCCGGAUUUAUUGGGUUUAAAGGGUGCGUAGGCGGCCUUUUAAGUCAGCGGUGAAAGUCUGUGGCUCAACCAUAGAAUUGCCGUUGAAACUGGGGGGCUUGAGUAUGUUUGAGGCAGGCGGAAUGCGUGGUGUAGCGGUGAAAUGCAUAGAUAUCACGCAGAACCCCGAUUGCGAAGGCAGCCUGCCAAGCCAUUACUGACGCUGAUGCACGAAAGCGUGGGGAUCAAACAGGAUUAGAUACCCUGGUAGUCCACGCAGUAAACGAUGAUCACUAGCUGUUUGCGAUACACUGUAAGCGGCACAGCGAAAGCGUUAAGUGAUCCACCUGGGGAGUACGCCGGCAACGGUGAAACUCAAAGGAAUUGACGGGGGCCCGCACAAGCGGAGGAACAUGUGGUUUAAUUCGAUGAUACGCGAGGAACCUUACCCGGGUUUGAACGCAUUCGGACCGAGGUGGAAACACCUUUUCUAGCAAUAGCCGUUUGCGAGGUGCUGCAUGGUUGUCGUCAGCUCGUGCCGUGAGGUGUCGGCUUAAGUGCCAUAACGAGCGCAACCCUUGCCACUAGUUACUAACAGGUAAAGCUGAGGACUCUGGUGGGACUGCCAGCGUAAGCUGCGAGGAAGGCGGGGAUGACGUCAAAUCAGCACGGCCCUUACAUCCGGGGCGACACACGUGUUACAAUGGCGUGGACAAAGGGAGGCCACCUGGCGACAGGGAGCGAAUCCCCAAACCACGUCUCAGUUCGGAUCGGAGUCUGCAACCCGACUCCGUGAAGCUGGAUUCGCUAGUAAUCGCGCAUCAGCCAUGGCGCGGUGAAUACGUUCCCGGGCCUUGUACACACCGCCCGUCAAGCCAUGGGAGCCGGGGGUACCUGAAGUCCGUAACCGAAAGGAUCGGCCUAGGGUAAAACUGGUGACUGGGGCUAAGUCGUA
rnacentral:rRNA from 1 species